rnacentral:rRNA from 1 species
UACAAAGGGGGCAAGCGUUGUUCGGAAUUACUGGGCGUAAAGGGCGCGUAGGCGGCCCGCUAAGUCGAACGUGAAAUCCCCAGGCUCAACCUGGGAACUGCGUCCGAUACUGGCAGGCUUGAAUCCGGGAGAGGGAUGUGGAAUUCCAGGUGUAGCGGUGAAAUGCGUAGAUAUCUGGAGGAAUACCGGUGGCGAAGGCGGCAUCCUGGACCGACAUUGACGCUGAGGAGCGAAAGCCAGGGGAGCAAACGGG